rnacentral:sRNA from 1 species
CAAUGGUUGCCGAGUUAGAACUUAACGGCGUAACAAAACCAUCACCGGACACAGUCGAAGAGG